rnacentral:rRNA from 1 species
ACGCUCGACACCUACGGAAGGCAGCAGUGGGGAAUAUUGCACAAUGGAGGAAACUCUGAUGCAGCGAUGCCGCGUGAGGGAAGAAGGUUUUCGGAUUGUAAACCUCUGUCUUUGGGGACGAUAAUGACGGUACCCAAGGAGGAAGCUCCGGCUAACUACGUGCUAGCAGCCGCGGUAAUCUGAGCGGGCUGGCAAGGC